GAUGAACGCUGGCGGCGUGCCUAAUACAUGCAAGUCGAGCGAACGGACGAGAAGCUUGCUCCUCUGAUGUUAGCGGCGGACGGGUGAGUAACACGUGGAUAACCUACCUAUAAGACUGGGAUAACUUCGGGAAACCGUAGCUAAUACCGGAUAAUAUUUUGAACCGCAUGGUUCAAUAGUGAAAGACGGUUUUGCUGUCACUUAUAGAUGGAUCCGCGCUGCAUUAGCUAGUUGGUAAGGUAACGGCUUACCAAGGCAACGAUGCGUAGCCGACCUGAGAGGGUGAUCGGCCACACUGGAACUGAGACACGGUCCAGACUCCUACGGGAGGCAGCAGUAGGGAAUCUUCCGCAAUGGGCGAAAGCCUGACGGAGCAACGCCGCGUGAGUGAUGAAGGUCUUCGGAUCGUAAAACUCUGUUAUUAGGGAAGAACAUAUGUGUAAGUAACUGUGCACGUCUUGACGGUACCUAAUCAGAAAGCCACGGCUAACUACGUG
rnacentral:rRNA from 1 species